CUCUCGAUGUGAUGAUCAAGCUUUUUUCAAUACAGUUAUCCCUGUCUGAACUUCCUUGUGGACAUAGUCUAAAUUUCUGAUCCUGCC
rfam:Glomerella graminicola M1.001 genomic scaffold supercont1.9, whole genome shotgun sequence.